UCUCUGCUGCUUCUUCUACUUCUGGUUGUUUUGGCGGCGUGUUGCAGCUCUGCAGCUCUGCAGCAACACGUGAGAAGUUUAGGUCCGAAAAACUUCAUGAACAUAUACUUCACGAACCUCUUCAACCACCUGGACGACCGGUUUGUGCACGGUCUUCGACUGAGAAGACAUCGCAGUGAUGAAGAGGAGGUCUACAGCUGCUCUGAAAGACAACAGAAGGUUUCCUCUGCGAGGACCGCCGGGCGUCUGUUUGGAUCCAGUUCCUGAGAUGUUGUUCAGGAUGCAAAGGAAAGAAAUGUUGGGGUUGUCAUGACAACGUGGACUCCUGGCAGCACCGCAUCCACCAUGAGGUUAAAAAGGUCAGUCCUGUUCCCAGAGAGGGUUCAUCGGAAAGGAAGGAAGUUGGAUCGGUGAUGCUGGAGCUUUAUGACUUUGACAAAACGGUGACCAAGUCAGAGACAUAUUUCUUCUUCAACAAAAAGUGGACAAUGACAUGGAGUCCUACGACAACACACGACUACGCCUGAGGUCCAGCAGCUGCUGCGUCUCCAGAACCUUCUCUGAACUAGUGUUUUUUUUUUUUUUUUUUAACUUCACACAUAUGGAGAUAUGUCGGCAUAUGCAGUGGUGGAAUAUAACAAAGUAAAGAAAGAUAAUAAUGAACAGUUAUAGGCACCAAUAAAUAAGAACAACUGGAAGUGAAA